CCUACGGGAGGCAGCAGUAGGGAAUCUUCCACAAUGGGCGAAAGCCUGAUGGAGCAACGCCGCGUGAGUGAUGAAGGCCUUCGGGUUGUAAAACUCUGUCAUUCGGGACGAACCGGAGUCUGAGGAAAUGCAGACUCUCUGACGGUACCGGAGGAGGAAGCCCCGGCUAACUACGUGCCAGCAGCCGCGGUAAUACGUAGGGGGCAAGCGUUGUCCGGAUUCACUGGGCGUAAAGCGCGCGCAGGCGGUGAUGUAAGUCUGAGGUGAAACCCGAAGCUCAACUUCGGGACUGCCUUGGAUACUGCGUCACUUGAGGAUAGGAGAGGCAAGGGGAAUUCCACGUGUAGCGGUGAAAUGCGUAGAGAUGUGGAGGAACACCUGUGGCGAAGGCGCCUUGCUGGCCUAUUUCUGACGCUGAGGCGCGAAAGCGUGGGGAGCAAACAGGAUUAGAUACCCUGGUAGUCCACGCUGUAAACGAUGAGUGCUAGGUGUAGGUGGGGCUCAUACCCGAUCUGUGCCGAAGCUAACGCAUUAAGCACUCCGCCUGGGGAGUCGGUCGCAAGCUGAAACUCAAGGAUUGACGGCUUGAGCNGCGAGGNGCACGAGGGAGAG
rnacentral:rRNA from 1 species